rnacentral:rRNA from 1 species
AUGAACGCUAGCUACAGGCUUAACACAUGCAAGUCGAGGGGCAUCAUUUCAGUUUGCUUGCAAACUGGAGAUGGCGACCGGCGCACGGGUGAGUAACACGUAUCCAACCUGCCGAUAACUCGGGGAUAGCCUUUCGAAAGAAAGAUUAAUACCCGAUGGUAUAAUCAGACCGCAUGGUCUUGUUAUUAAAGAAUUUCGGUUAUCGAUGGGGAUGCGUUCCAUUAGGCAGUUGGUGAGGUAACGGCUCACCAAACCUUCGAUGGAUAGGGGUUCUGAGAGGAAGGUCCCCCACAUUGGAACUGAGACACGGUCCAAACUCCUACGGGAGGCAGCAGUGAGGAAUAUUGGUCAAUGGGCGCAGGCCUGAACCAGCCAAGUAGCGUGAAGGAUGACUGCCCUAUGGGUUGUAAACUUCUUUUAUAUGGGAAUAAAGUUUUCCACGUGUGGAAUUUUGUAUGUACCAUAUGAAUAAGGAUCGGCUAACUCCGUGCCAGCAGCCGCGGUAAUACGGAGGAUCCGAGCGUUAUCCGGAUUUAUUGGGUUUAAAGGGAGCGUAGGUGGACAGUUAAGUCAGUUGUGAAAGUUUGCGGCUCAACCGUAAAAUUGCAGUUGAUACUGGCUGUCUUGAGUACAGUAGAGGUGGGCGGAAUUCGUGGUGUAGCGGUGAAAUGCUUAGAUAUCACGAAGAACUCCGAUUGCGAAGGCAGCUCACUGGACUGCAACUGACACUGAUGCUCGAAAGUGUGGGUAUCAAACAGGAUUAGAUACCCUGGUAGUCCACACAGUAAACGAUGAAUACUCGCUGUUUGCGAUAUACAGUAAGCGGCCAAGCGAAAGCAUUAAGUAUUCCACCUGGGGAGUACGCCGGCAACGGUGAAACUCAAAGGAAUUGACGGGGGCCCGCACAAGCGGAGGAACAUGUGGUUUAAUUCGAUGAUACGCGAGGAACCUUACCCGGGCUUAAAUUGCAUUUGAAUAUAUUGGAAACAGUAUAGCCGUAAGGCAAAUGUGAAGGUGCUGCAUGGUUGUCGUCAGCUCGUGCCGUGAGGUGUCGGCUUAAGUGCCAUAACGAGCGCAACCCUUAUCUUUAGUUACUAACAGGUCAUGCUGAGGACUCUAGAGAGACUGCCGUCGUAAGAUGUGAGGAAGGUGGGGAUGACGUCAAAUCAGCACGGCCCUUACGUCCGGGGCUACACACGUGUUACAAUGGGGGGUACAGAAGGCAGCUACCUGGUGACAGGAUGCUAAUCCCAAAAGCCUCUCUCAGUUCGGAUCGAAGUCUGCAACCCGACUUCGUGAAGCUGGAUUCGCUAGUAAUCGCGCAUCAGCCAUGGCGCGGUGAAUACGUUCCCGGGCCUUGUACACACCGCCCGUCAAGCCAUGAAAGCCGGGGGUACCUGAAGUACGUAACCGCAAGGAGCGUCCUAGGGUAAAACUGGUAAUUGGGGCU